AUAAACCAAAAAAACUAUAAACAAAACUGUCGGGAGUGCAGGAUAAAUAGCUCCACGAACGAACCUGUUCCACUCUUUUUUAUUUUUUUAUUUUCUAACCACGCCAUACACGGUGUCAUAU
rnacentral:ribozyme from 1 species